rnacentral:rRNA from 1 species
GAUUUAACGGCCGCGGUACUCUGACCGUGCGAAGGUAGCACAAUCACUUGUUCUUUAAAUGAGGACUAGAAUCAAUGGCAUCACGAGGGUCCCACUGUCUCCUUUUUCUAAUCAGUGAAAUUGAUCUCCCCGUGAAGAAGCGGGGAUAACUUUAUAAGACGAGAAGACCCCAUGGAGCUUCAAACUCAACGGAUAACUCUACAACCUAUGAGAUAUUUUAAGAGGUCUAUCCAUUAGUUUUGGGUUGGGGUGACCACGGAGAACAACCUAACCUCCGUAAUGAAAAGAAUAAAAUCAUAAUCUAAGAGCCACACCUCUAAGAAUUAACAAAUUAACAUACAAUGAUCCAAUUUUUAUUGAUCAAUGAACCAAGUUACCCUGGGGAUAACAGCGCUAUCCACUCCUAGAGUCCCUAUCGCCGAGUGGGUUUACGACCUCGAUGUUGGAUCAGGGUGUCCGAGUGGUGCAGCC